rnacentral:hammerhead_ribozyme from 1 species
AUCCAGCUGACGAGUUCCAAAUAGGAAGAAACGUUCAUCUUGGAU